AACGUGCUCAGAACCAUCCUGCCAUGGACCAGGAUGAUUCCUUCUUCAAAGAUAGAGGAUUCCGUAGACUCUCAUAGGUAAAAGAAAAGGCCCUUGAUGGAGAUUGGGAGAUGGAAAAAACUCACAGUGAUUGUGGAGUAUGGAGCCUGGGAAAACAAGGCAUCAACUUGGAUGCAAGAUACUCACCUGUCGAAGCAUGUGACACUUCAGUGACAAAAAUACACCACCUGUGAAUCUUUGCAUGCUUGAGGGCACACUGUGGUUAAAGGAAAUCUCAGACAAUCUAAUUGCAAUCUAAGUCAAUAGGAAGGGCGUGUCUGUACCUCUCUGCUGCUGGGAACUUCGCUUCUCGGUCUCCAGCAUGUAGCUACUUGUCUACCAUGUGUCUGAUCUCCAUGGCAGCUUAAAAUGACCUGGCUUCUUUUACCAUUCUCCUCCAUUCUCUGUCUCC